UACGUAGGGACCAAGCGUUGUUCGGAUUUACUGGGCGUAAAGGGCGCGUAGGCGGCAAUUCAAGUCAGUUGUGAAAUCUCCGAGCUUAACUCGGAACGGUCAACUGAUACUGCUUGCUAGAGUACAGAAGGGGCAAUCGGAAUUCUUGGUGUAGCGGUGAAAUGCGUAGAUAUCAGGAGGAACACCGGUGGUGUAGACGGCUUUCUGGACCGUAACUGACGCUGAGACACGAAAGUGUGGGUAGCAAACAGG
rnacentral:rRNA from 1 species